UACGUAGGGGGCGAGCGUUGUCCGGAUUUAUUGGGCGUAAAGAGCGUGUAGGCGGCCAGGUAGGUCUGCUGUGAAAACUCGAGGCUCAACCUCGAGACGUCGGCGGAAACCAUCUGGCUAGAGUCCGGAAGAGGAGAGUGGAAUUCCGUGGUGUAGCGGUGAAAUGCGCAGAUAUCUGGAGGAACACCGGUGGCGAAGGCGGCAUCCUGGACCGGCAUUGACGCUGAGACGCGAAAGCGUGGGGAGCGAACGAGG
rnacentral:rRNA from 1 species